UACGGGGGGGGCAAGCGUUGUUCGGAAUCAUUGGGCGUAAAGCGCGUGUAGGCGGUCCGGUAAGUCCGCUGUGAAAGUCGGGGGCUCAACCCUCGGAUGCCGGUGGAUACUGUCGGGCUUGAGUACGGAAGAGGCGAGUGGAAUUCCUGGUGUAGCGGUGAAAUGCGCAGAUAUCAGGAGGAACACCAAUUGCGAAGGCAGCUCGCUGGGACGUUACUGACGCUGAGACGCGAAAGCGUGGGGAGCAAACAGG
rnacentral:rRNA from 1 species